rnacentral:rRNA from 1 species
GCCAGACCUGACUGCUAUCGGAUUGAUACUAAGCCAUGCGAGUCAUUGUAGCAAUACAAGGCAUACGGCUCAGUAACGCGUAGUCAACCUAACCUAUGGACGGGAAUAACCUCGGGAAACUGAGAAUAAUGCCCGAUAGAACAUUAUACCUGGAAUGGUUUAUGUUCCAAAUGAUUUAUCGCCGUAGGAUGGGGCUGCGGCCUAUCAGUUUGUUGGUGAGGUAAUGGCCCACCAAGACUAUUACAGGUACGGGCUCUGAGAGGAGUAGCCCGGAGAUGGGUACUGAGACACGGACCCAGGCCCUAUGGGGCGCAGCAGGCGAGAAAACUUUGCAAUGUGCGAAAGCACGACAAGGUUAAUCCGAGUGAUUUCUGCUAAAGAAAUCUUUUGUUAGUCCUAGAAACACUAACGAAUAAGGGGUGGGCAAGUUCUGGUGUCAGCCGCCGCGGUAAAACCAGCACCUCAAGUGGUCAGGAUGAUUAUUGGGCCUAAAGCAUCCGUAGCCGGCUCUGUAAGUUUUCGGUUAAAUCUGUACGCUUAACGUACAGGCCGCCGGGAAUACUGCAAAGCUAGGGAGUGGGAGAAGUAGACGGUACUCGGUAGGAAGUGGUAAAAUGCUUUGAUCUAUCGAUGACCACCUGUGGCGAAGGCGGUCUACUAGAACACGUCCGACGGUGAGGGAUGAAAGCUGGGGGAGCAAACCGGAUUAGAUACCCGGGUAGUCCCAGCUGUAAACUAUGCAAACUCAGUGAUGCAUUGGCUUGUGGCCAAUGCAGUGCUGCAGGGAAGCCGUUAAGUUUGCCGCCUGGGAAGUACGUACGCAAGUAUGAAACUUAAAGGAAUUGGCGGGGGAGCACCACAAGGGGUGAAGCCUGCGGUUCAAUUGGAUUCAACGCCGGGGA